rnacentral:rRNA from 1 species
UACGUAGGGUGCGAGCGUUGUCCGGAAUUAUUGGGCGUAAAGAGCUCGUAGGCGGUGUUUCGCGUCGGCCGUGAAAACCUGCAGCUUAACUGUGGGCUUGCGGUCGAUACGGGCAUCACUGGAGUUCGGCAGGGGAGACUGGAAUUCCUGGUGUAGAGGUGAAAUGCGCAGAUAUCAGGAGGAACACCGGUGGCGAAGGCGGGUCUCUGGGCCGAUACUGACGCUGAGGAGCGAAAGCGUGGGGAGCGAACAGG